UACGGAGGGUGCGAGCGUUGUCCGGAAUCAUUGGGCGUAAAGGGCGCGUAGGUGGCCCGGUCAGUCUUUGGUGAAAGCGCGGGGCUCAACCCUGCGUCGGCCAGGGAUACUGCCGCGGCUCGAGCACUGUAGAGGCAGGCGGAAUUCCGGGUGUAGCGGUGGAAUGCGUAGAGAUCCGGAAGAACACCGGUGGCGAAGGCGGCCUGCUGGGCAGUGGCUGACGCUGAGGCGCGACAGCGUGGGGAGCGAACAGG
rnacentral:rRNA from 1 species